rnacentral:rRNA from 1 species
UACGAAGGGGGCGAGCGUUGUCCGGAUUUAUUGGGCGUAAAGAGCUCGUAGGCGGCUCGGUAAGUCGGGUGUGAAACCUCCAGGCUCAACCUGGAGACGCCACCUGAUACUGCUGUGGCUAGAGUCCGGUAGGGGAGUGUGGAACUCCUGGUGUAGCGGUGAAAUGCGCAGAUAUCAGGAAGAACACCAGCGGCGAAGGCGGCACUCUGGGCCGGAACUGACGCUGAGGAGCGAAAGCGUGGGUAGCAAACAGG